AUUGAACGCUGGCGGCAGGCCUAACACAUGCAAGUCGAGCGGAUGAAGGGAGCUUGCUCCUGGAUUCAGCGGCGGACGGGUGAGUAAUGCCUAGGAAUCUGCCUGGUAGUGGGGGAUAACGUCCGGAAACGGGCGCUAAUACCGCCUACGUCCUGAGGGGGAAAGUGGGGGAUCUUCGGACCUCACGCUCUCAGAUGAGCCUAGGUCGGAUUAGCUAGUUGGUGGGGUAAGGGCCUACCAAGGCGACGAUCCGUAACUGGUCUGAGAGGAUGAUCAGUCACACUGGAACUGAGACGCGGUCCAUGCUCCUGCGGGAGGCAGCAGUGGGGUAUAUUGGGCAGUGGGCGAAAACCUGAUCCAGCCAUGCCGCGUGUGUGAAGAAGGUCUUCGGAUUGUAAAGCACUUUAAGUUGGGGUGAAGGGCAGUAAGUUAAUACCUUGCUGUUUUGACGUUACCAACAGAAUAAGCACCGGCUAACUACGUG
rnacentral:rRNA from 1 species